rnacentral:rRNA from 1 species
CCUACGGGAGGCAGCAGUGGGGAAUAUUGCGCAAUGGGCGAAAGCCUGACGCAGCGACGCCGCGUGAGGGAUGAAGGUCUUCGGAUCGUAAACCUCUGUCAGCAGGGAAGAACGGUCACUGUGCUAAUCAGCAGUGAAUUGACGGUACCUGCAAAGGAAGCACCGGCUAACUCAGUGCAAGCAGCCGCGGUAAUACGGAGGGUGCGAGCGUUAAUAGGAAUUAAGGGGCGUAAAGCGCGCGUAGGCGGUAUGGCAAGUCAAGGGUGAAAUACCCGCGCUCAACGUGGGAACUGCCUUUGAAACUGGCAAACUGGAGUGUGUGAGAGGAUAGUGGAAUUCCAGGUGUAGGAGUGAAAUCCGUAGAUAUCUGGAGGAACAUCAGUGGCGAAGGCGACUAUCUGGCACAUAACUGACGCUGAGGAGCGAAAGCGUGGGUAGCAAACAGGAUUAGAUACCCCUGUAGUC